rnacentral:rRNA from 1 species
UCCUGGCUCAGGAUGAACGCUAGCGGGAGGCCUAACACAUGCAAGCCGAGCGGUAGAAGAUCUUCGGAUCUUUGAGAGCGGCGUACGGGUGCGGAACACGUGUGCAACCUGCCUUUAUCAGGGGGAUAGCCUUUCGAAAGGAAGAUUAAUACCCCAUAAUAUAAUGAGUGGCAUCACUUAUUAUUGAAAACUCCGGUGGAUAGAGAUGGGCACGCGCAAGAUUAGAUAGUUGGUAGGGUAACGGCCUACCAAGUCAGUGAUCUUUAGGGGGCCUGAGAGGGUGAUCCCCCACACUGGUACUGAGACACGGACCAGACUCCUACGGGAGGCAGCAGUGAGGAAUAUUGGACAAUGGGUGAGAGCCUGAUCCAGCCAUCCCGCGUGAAGGACGACGGCCCUAUGGGUUGUAAACUUCUUUUGUAUAGGGAUAAACCUUUCCACGUGUGGAAAGCUGAAGGUACUAUACGAAUAAGCACCGGCUAACUCCGUGCCAGCAGCCGCGGUAAUACGGAGGGUGCAAGCGUUAUCCGGAUUUAUUGGGUUUAAAGGGUCCGUAGGCGGAUCUGUAAGUCAGUGGUGAAAUCUCAUAGCUUAACUAUGAAACUGCCAUUGAUACUGCAGGUCUUGAGUAAAGUAGAAGUGGCUGGAAUAAGUAGUGUAGCGGUGAAAUGCAUAGAUAUUACUUAGAACACCAAUUGCGAAGGCAGGUCACUAUGUUUUAACUGACGCUGAUGGACGAAAGCGUGGGGAGCGAACAGGAUUAGAUACCCUGGUAGUCCACGCCGUAAACGAUGCUAACUCGUUUUUGGGUUUUCGGAUUCAGAGACUAAGCGAAAGUGAUAAGUUAGCCACCUGGGGAGUACGUUCGCAAGAAUGAAACUCAAAGGAAUUGACGGGGGCCCGCACAAGCGGUGGAUUAUGUGGUUUAAUUCGAUGAUACGCGAGGAACCUUACCAAGGCUUAAAUGGGAAUUGACAGGUUAAGAAAUAGACUUUUCUUCGGACAAUUUUCAAGGUGCUGC